AUUGAACGCUGGCGGCAUGCUUUACACAUGCAAGUCGAACGGUAACGCGGGGGCAACCCUGGCGACGAGUGGCGAACGGGUGAGUAAUACAUCGGAACAUGUCCUGGAGUGGGGGAUAGCUCGGCGAAAGCCGGAUUAAUACCGCAUACGCUCUGAGGAGGAAAGCGGGGGACCUGGUAACGGGCCUCGCGCUGCGGGAGUGGCCGAUGUCGGAUUAGCUAGUUGGUGAGGAAAGGCUCACCAAGGCGACGAUCCGUAGCUGGUCUGAGAGGAUGAUCAGCCACACUGGGACUGAGACACGGCCCAGACUCCUACGGAGGCAGCAGUGGGGAAUUUUGGACAAUGGGCGCAAGCCUGAUCCAGCAAUGCCGCGUGAGUGAGGAAGGCCUUAGGGUUGUAAAGCUCUUCCACCCGCGACGAUGAUGACGGUAGCGGGAGAAGAGCCCC
rnacentral:rRNA from 1 species